CCAGAUGGCCGGAUGGCCGCCCCUGUUCUUCGGAACGGGGGAGGAAAGUCCGGGCUCCAUGGAAAUACGGUGCCAGUUAACGGCUGGCGGGGGCGACCCUAGGGAAAGUGCCACAGAAAGCAAACCACCUGAUCGCGCAAGCCAUCAGGAAAGGGUGAAAGGGUGCGGUAAGAGCGCACCGGUCCUUCAGCAAUGCGGGACGCAUGGUAAACCCCACCGGGAGCAAAACCUAAUAGGAAUGGUCGGCCGGAUGCUUCGGCAUUGUCGGCAGGCGGGUUUCCGCGCCACCAUUCGGGUUGGUUGCAGGAGGCGUCCGGCGACGGGCGUCCCAGAUGAAUGGCCAUCCAGUGCGGUUCGCCGCAUGGACAGAACCCGGCUUACAGGCCAUCUGGUCUA
rfam:Thalassospira xiamenensis M-5 = DSM 17429, complete genome.